rnacentral:misc_RNA from 1 species
CCAAACUUGGUCAUUUAGAGGAAGUAAAAGUCGUAACAAGGUUUCCGUAGGUGAACCUGCGGAAGGAUCAUCAUUGAAAUAUAAAAACUUUUUCAAGUCAUUGGGAGGGGGAAGGGAAAUUUCUUUUCUUCUUCUUUUGGCUUGCAAACAACUUUGAUACCCAAAAAGAGCUUCAUCUUCUUCAUCUUCAACUUUUAUUGGCUUAAGCUUUAUUUGCUUAGGCUUAAUUGGUUGGGGUUGUUGGAGGAGGGAAGAAAACAAGGAGGAAGGGUGAUUGGAGGGAAACCUCAGUUCCCUGAAUCCCAAUAACAACAUAUAUGGUUGCCUGAUAAAAAAGAGUUUGGUUUCUGGAAAUGGAGAGAAAAAUGAAACAACUUUCAACAACGGAUCUCUUGGCUCUCACAUCGAUGAAGAACGCAGC